UACAGAGGGUGCGAGCGUUUAAUCGGAAUUACUGGGCGUAAAGCGUGCGUAGACGGUUCUGUAAGUCGGAUGUGAAAUCCCCGGGCUCAACCUGGGAACUGCAUUUGUGACUGCAUCGCUGGAGUGCGGCAGAGGGGGAUGGAAUUCCGCGUGUAGCAGUGAAAUGCGUAGAUAUCGGGAGGAAUACCUAUGGCGAAAGCAGGCUUCUGGGCUAAUCACUGACGCUGAUCUGCGAAAGCUAGGGGAGCAAACAGGA
rnacentral:rRNA from 1 species